UACGGAGGAUUCGAGCGUUAUCCGGAUUUAUUGGGUUUAAAGGGUGCGUAGGCGGACUGGUAAGUGAGCUGUGAAAGUUUACGGCUCAACCGUGAAAUUGCAGUUGAUACUGUUGAUCUUGAGUAUACAUGAGGUGGGCGGAAUUUGUCGUGUAGCGGUGAAAUGCUUAGAUAUCACAAAGAACUCCAACUGCGAAGGCAGCUCCCUGGGGUUUAACUGACGCUGAUGCACGAAGGUGUGGGUAGCAAACAGG
rnacentral:rRNA from 1 species